rnacentral:rRNA from 1 species
GACGAACGCNGGCGGCGUGCUUAACACAUGCAAGUCGAACGAAGAGCGAUGGAAGCUUGCUUCUAUCAAUCUUAGUGGCGAACGGGUGAGUAACGCGUAAUCAACCUGCCCUUCAGAGGGGGACAACAGUUGGAAACGACUGCUAAUACCGCAUACGAUCUAAACUCGGCAUCGAGGAUAGAUGAAAGGUGGCCUCUACAUGUAAGCUAUCACUGAAGGAGGGGAUUGCGUCUGAUUAGCUAGUUGGAGGGGUAACGGCCCACCAAGGCGAUGAUCAGUAGCCGGUCUGAGAGGAUGAACGGCCACAUUGGGACUGAGACACGGCCCAGACUCCUACGGGAGGCAGCAGUGGGGAAUCUUCCGCAAUGGACGAAAGUCUGACGGAGCAACGCCGCGUGAGUGAUGACGGCCUUCGGGUUGUAAAGCUCUGUUAAUCGGGACGAAAGGCCUUCUUGCGAAUAGUGAGAAGGAUGA